rnacentral:rRNA from 1 species
UACGUAGGGCGCGAGCGUUGUCCGGAAUUAUUGGGCGUAAAGAGCUCGUAGGCGGUUUGUCGCGUCUGCUGUGAAAACCCGAGGCUCAACCUCGGGCCUGCAGUGGGUACGGGCAGACUAGAGUGCGGUAGGGGAGAUUGGAAUUCCUGGUGUAGCGGUGGAAUGCGCAGAUAUCAGGAGGAACACCAAUGGCGAAGGCAGAUAUCUGGGCCGUAACUGACGCUGAGGAGCGAAAGCAUGGGGAGCGAACAGG